GGGGAUUUGGCUCAGUGGUAGAGCGCUUGCCUAGCAAGCGCAAGGCCCUGGGUUCGGUUCCCAGCUCCA
rfam:Rattus norvegicus chromosome 13, whole genome shotgun sequence.